rnacentral:tRNA from 1 species
UAAUAUGAAGCAAUUAUUUGCAUUUAGUUUCGACCUAAAAGUUAGGUUUAAAACCCAUAUUAU